rnacentral:rRNA from 1 species
CACCAAGAAAUUGAGUCAUUUUGAUUAUGGUUAAAAGGCAGUUAGAUUGAUUAAAGGAUGACUUAGGUUGUUUAAUGUUUUAUAUAGAAGUAAAAUUUAGAUAUAGUUGCAUAAUUUGUUAACAACCUUUUAGGUUGAAUCUGCGAAAUUUUUGAGGGAAACUGGGAUUAGGUACCCCAUUAUUCUUAAGGGUAAAUUGUUGUAUGGACUACCAGAGUACUAUGAAUGAUCAAAUUUAAAACUCAAAGGACUUGGCGGUGUCUUAGACCACUUAGGGGAACCUGUCUCAUAAUCGACAGUCCACGCUGUACCUGACCUCUUUUUGUGAUCAGUUUGUAUACCGUUGUCGUCAGGUAACUUUUUAGAAAAAUGGAGUUAGCAAUAUAAAGAAAUUAUUUAGUACGUCAAAUCAAGGUGCAGCUAAUAAAGGGGGGAGGAUGGGUUACAAUUAUAUAUUUAUAAUUACGGAAAUAAGUGCAGAAAUGUGUUGUAUAAGGAGGACUUGAAAGUAAAUUAGAAUAGAUAUAUAACUUGAAUGAGGCUCUGAGACGUGU